AAGUGUAAACAACGUAAACAAACUUAUCGAAGAAUUUUAUUUCAAAACUAAUUUUUCUGAAGGUACUACCUUUAGGAAUUGCUUGUCUGGUUUGUAAGUUUUCUUAGCAUAAGCAUAAUUUCUUGAAAAUGGAAUGUAAUACGUUGUAAUUUGAUGAAUUCUUUGUGAUAAAAAAGAAGAAAAAAAAAAAAAAAAUAGAAUUUCGAAUUUAAUUUUAUUUCACUAGAUAUCAUCGUUUGUGGAUGCAUCGUAAGCAUUGUUUCUUCGCAAACAAGAAAAGAAACGAGGGAAAGAAAAGAUAACGGUUUAUCAGUACUGUUUUUUCUAUAGUUCUCAUACCAAAAACUUCUAUAACUUCUAGAUUAUUAACAGAUUCGAACGGAUUUUCAACCUUGUCACUUAACAUGAUUUAUUAUAAGUGUAUAUGAAACAUUAAACAGGUCUCGACGAUAAAUUUUUUAUUUUUCAUUGGAGUAACAAUAGUGUAGCUAUUAAAAAUAAAUUCACGGAUUUUAAUUCUUUUAAUGAAUAUUCAUUAUAUAUUUUCGUGGUGGCGUGAUACACACCGAAGACGGAUAAAGUUAUUUGCAGUGCGGUCAAGUGAAAAAACCAUUAUAAGAAAAGUUUAUUAGAUAAUUUUUUUAAUCGAAUAAUUUAUCGAAUCUACAAUAAAUAUCGAUUACUAAAAAUAAAUACAUUUUGAAAAUAAUUAUUGAUAAUGAACACUUUAAUGAAUAUAUCGUCGACAUUUUGGUCACCGGACAUAUGGCUACCGCCCAAUAUAACAUGGGAUGAUAUUAAACCGAAUUCAGAAAACAAAUAUGCUGAUUAUCAGCAUUUAAUAUUUCCCUUGCCAAUGGCCUUAAUUCUGUUGGUUAUGAGAUAUACUCUUGAAAGGUAUUGCUUUGCACCCUUUGGCAAAUCGCUUGGUAUAAAAAAUACAAGAUCAAAAAAAGCACCCCCGAAUGAAAUUUUGGAGAAAGCUUAUAGUAGUAAAAAAAUAAAACACAAACAGAUAUUAGCUUUAGCUAAGCAAUUGGAUUGUUCGGAACGACAAAUAGAAAGGUGGCUUAGACUCAGACGUUCUCAAGACAAACCAUCUACUUUAACAAAGUUCUGCGAAAACAAUUGGAGGUGUUCAUAUUAUACAUAUUCAUUCUUUUAUGGCCUUAUUAUUUUAUGGAAUAAACCAUGGCUAUGGGACAUAAAACAAUGUUAUUAUAACUAUCCAUAUCAUUCGGUAACUAAUGAUGUGUGGUGGUAUUAUAUGAUAUCUAUGGCAUUUUACUGGUCAUUGAGUUUGUCACAAUUCUUCGAUGUAAAAAGAAAAGAUUUUUGGCAAAUGUUCGUUCAUCAUAUAGUGACUAUUGUUUUAUUGUGUUUCUCAUGGGUCGCAAAUUUAACAAGGAUCGGUUCAUUAGUCUUAUUAGUACAUGAUUCUGCUGAUAUAUUUCUAGAAGUGGCAAAAAUGGCAAAAUAUGCUAAUUAUCAAAAAUUCUGUGACUUCGUAUUUGUUAUUUUCACAAUAUUAUGGAUUUCUACACGUGUUGGUAUUUUUCCAUUUUGGAUAAUUUAUAGUACAUUGAUUGAAGCACCUAAAAUAGUGCCAAUGUUCCCAGCAUAUUAUGUGUUUAAUACAUUAUUGUGUCUCCUACUUUUGCUUCAUUCGAUUUGGACUUAUGUUAUUAUUAAGAUAGCAUACAAUGCCUUCUAUGCUGGUCAGAUGGAAGGUGAUAUACGAAGUAAUAGCAGUGAAGAUGUUUCAGAUGCCUCUGAGAAUAAUGCAUCUGUUAAUGAUACAACGAACUACAUCAGCAAACGAAGUCCAAGACAAAAGAUACACUAACAAAAAAGAUCAACUAGAUAAAAGUCCUAACAUAUAUAAUGUUAAAGAUAAAAAAAGAAAACAAAAAAAUAAUUAGCCUGGCGCUAAAUUAUCAUUCUUCAAACUUAUUCAAGUUAUAAAGUUAUGAUUGUAUCAUUAUAACAAAUCAAAUCAUAACUUUAUUGGGAAUAUCAUAAAAAAAAAACUCUAGACUUAACAACUAAGAUAUUUGUUGCUAUAAAUAUUUUUUAAAGCAAUUUCAUGUUUAUUUCUAUAAAGUAAGAGAAAGUGAUUCACUAUAAAUGCAAAAUCCAAAUUUCAUUUUUAACAUAUUACCAAUAUUGUAAAAAAAUGAAAAUCUUUAGUCAUAUUUCACUUCCAUAUUUUACAUUAUACCAUUUAUUUAUAAUUAUUUUAUUUAAAAAUUUAGGUACCUGUAUGUAUUAUCUUUUAAAAGAACUUUAAGUGUUUAAUUAAACAAAGAAUGGACCAAAGCUUUAGAUUUUUAUGUCAAAAGGUAACCCUUUUUAAACUUGUGAUUCGUGAUAUUAAAAUAUUUUUAUAUAUUCAUUUUGUAUAUUCUGAAAAUAUCUAUAAGUUUAACGAUAAAGUAGAAUGAAAGGGAAAGUGCAAAGAAAAUCGUGCAAAGAAAAUCGUGCAAAGAAAAAUUUCCACAAAUAGCAUUUAUUUCGCAAAGUUUUAUGUGAAUCUCUUUGAUUAAGUGUUAAAUGGUAGUAUUAGUUAGUGAAUAAAAUCAAGUUGAAAAUUAAUAAGUGUAAGUUAUUUUGCUGAUUAAGAUAUCAAACGCAAUUCAAUGAAUAUAUUUAUUAAUAAAUAAUAGAGUGCAAUAGUAGUUUCUAACAAUGAUAAUUUAGUAACGUUAUUUUGUGUAAACAAUCACAUCUUUUAUAUAGUUUAUUUACGUUUGCAUUAAAAUAUGUACAUUUAUAAUUAUUUAAAUAUAUAAGGUAAAGUGAUUGAAAAUCGGUUGCUCACUAAUUUUAAUUCUUUUUUCCAACGUAAUUUAUUGAUUAUUGCCUGAUUACAACGCAUAUAUGUCAUUUUAUUAAAAACUUCUUAAAUAAACAAAACCGCUUAUAUUAUAAGGAUCGAUAUAGAUCAUUUUCGUGUAUAAAAUAUCAAAGUGUGUAAGAAAAAGUAUCAAAAAUGUUCUAUCACGAAAUUAAUUAAUUAAUUAUUAUCACGAACGAGCGAAUGCAAUUAACAGACUGCAAUUGAACGAACUAUGAAAAAGUAUCAAAUCGUAUGUUUUCGUGCAAAGCACGGCUUUUGUGAGAAAUAUUAUAUUUCGAAGGUAACUUCGAUGAUACGUGCCGUUAAAUAAGCAUCGUAAAAGGUCGGCCUCGAGGCAAAAACACGAACAUCUUGCAACUUUAAUACUUGGCCUAAUUUUUAUAAAUUUACUUAUAUAACUUGAUAAUUUUCCUAGUUGAAGAUUUACUCAAGCUUGGUUAAGAUCGUCACAACUCAUUCUAGAAUCUUACGUUCCUAUAUAAAGAUUUUCGCGGAUACAACAAAUAAAUAGAAAAUGAAGGAUUAUCUGCAUAGAAAAUUAUUGCACGAUUAUGAAUCUAACUACAAAUAUAAAAAGUCU